AGAGGGUGCAAACGUUGUUCGGAAUUACUGGGCGUAAAGCGAGUGUAGGCGGUUCGGUAAGUCGGAUGUGAAAGCCCCGGGCUCAACCCGGGAAGUGCACUCGAUACUGCCGAGCUAGAGUAUCGGAGAGGUUGGUGGAAUUCUCGGUGUAGAGGUGAAAUUCGUAGAUAUCGAGAGGAACACCGGUGGCGAAGGCGGCCAACUGGACGAAUACUGACGCUGAGACUCGAAAGCGUGGGGAGCAAACAGGAUUAGAUACCCUGGUAGUCCACGCCGUAAACGAUGGGUGCUAGGUGUCGCGGGCUUUGACUCCUGCGGUGCCGUAGCUAACGCAUUAAGCACCCCGCCUGGGAAGUACGGCCGCAAGGCUA
rnacentral:rRNA from 1 species